GCCGGUUAGCUCUGUUGGCAGGGCGGCUGACUUGUAAUCAGUAGGUCGUGGGUUCGCCUCCUAUCGUCGGCACCA
rnacentral:tRNA from 1 species